CAGGCUGGCUACGGCCUGGGCGAGGCUCGGUCGCUGUGGGCAGGGCUGGGUGCAUUGUUCUCUUGGCUUGUCCGAGGGCGGUGCCGCUUGCUGGGUGCGGAGCUGACCUGGCACUGUGACCCACAAUUACCUAAAGACUCAAUCACUGGGCCUUCUCUCAGAGUUUCCUCAAAUCUGGUUCGUAGGGGCGGGACUUUUGCCCACUGGUGUUGCUAACUGCUCUGCUGUUCCUCCUGUGCUGUUCCUCCUAUCCUAGAGCUACAGAGUCCUGGAGGACAAGGACCAGGGGCACUGAGGUUGAUUCGUCCAGAAUCUUCUGAAAGGCCCGUGCGUGUUUGUAUGCAUGCUUUGCUGUAUACCUGCACGAGCUUUUCGAACGUCGGCUGUGCCUUACACACUAUUCAUGAUGUAUAUUUUGAAAAGUCACCCACCACUUUUCCGGGAAAGAGCCAUAUGUGACUGUUAAAGUAGUAGACCGGUAAACUAGGAAAUGGAAGUAGCCUGAAAUCCAGUGGGCCUAGAUGCUUCUGAAGCUUUGCUAUUGCUCAGCUGUUCCAAAGAUCAUAGCAGGGUGUGCUGGACAAUCCUUGGCUUGUAUGACUGUUCUGUAACACAUGUUGUAUAAAUUCACCCAUUUGAGCUAUUCCUUUAGUGGCUUUUGUUAUAGUCACAAUGGGGCAACCUUUGGUUUGAGAACAUUUUCACCACUCCUGAAAAAUCAGUCUGUUGCCUUUAGUUAUGACUUAAAACCUUUCCAAUUUUAGCCAACAAUUCACAGACUCUUCGUCUGUAAAGGUUUGCUACCUGAGAUUUUUGAAAUAGGAUCUAUGUAGAACAGGCUAGCCUUGAAUUUACUGCCUACUUCUGCCUCCUGAGUCCUGGAAUUAACAGUUUGUUGCAUCACACGCAGUUUAUUCUUUGCAUUUAAGAUACAUGGGAUCGGGGUUGGGGAUUUAGCUCAGUGGUAGAGCGCUUGCCUAGCAAGCUCAAGGCCCUGGGUUCGGUCCCCAGCUCCGGAAAAAAAAAAAAAAAAAAAGAAAAGAAAAAGAAAAAAAAGAAGAUACAUGGGAUCAAAUAUGACCAUUGCAAUGGGUUUCUGUAAUAUUGUACAGUAUUUCAUGUUGCAGCAGAUUUCGGUGCUUUAUUCCUUUUUUGGUUGAGUUAAAUUGCAACGCAUGGAUAUUAUACGUUUUAUUUAUUAAAACUGUCAUUGGAAGGGCUGGGACGCAGCUCAACUGAUUGAAUAUUGGGCUCAAGUGCAUGAAGUCCUGGGAUCAAUAAUCCCAGCACUUGCAAGGGAGAGCAAAAGGAUCAGAAGUUUAAGGUCACACAGCUUCAGAGAGUGUUUUGAAGCAAGCCUAGGGUACAUAAAUCCCUGUCUCCAAAACAAGCAGGACUGGAGAGAUGGCUCAGAGGCUAAAGAGCACUGGCUACCUUCUAGAGGACCCAGGUUCAGUUCCUAGCAACCACAUAGCAGUUCUUUUUUUUUUUUUUUUUUUUUGGUUCUUUUCUUCGGAGCUGGGGAGAAGUGGGGGCUGCUUCUGGAAAAAAAUAAAAAUGCCCAGAGCAUCAUGGGAAAUAUGCCCAGGCUUUGACAAGUAUCUGAAAAAAGAAAGAGGUGCAGAAAGUGAGGACAUGACAGCUCCAAAAAGAUGGUUGAGAAGAAAGAAGGCUUUCCUUGUAGAUUUGAAGAAGAGUAGAGCUGAGGGCACCUCGAAGAGUCCAGAGCAGGGAGAGAAAGUAGUAAACAUGACCAACAGACUGACGAGAGCCAUAAGAAGAGGGUGGUACCAGGUGGGGUGCUGGCUACUUUUAUAGAACAUUUCCUUAAUUAGUGAUUGUUGGGGAAUGGCCCAGCCCAUAGAGUGUGAGUGUGUGUGUGUGUGUGUGUGUGUGUGUGUGUGUGUGUGUGUGGUCACCCCUGGUUUACUGGUUAUGAGUUCUAUAAAAAAGCAAGCUGAGCAAACUGUGGGGAGUGAGCCAGUAAGAAGCACCCUUCCAUGGCUUCUGUAUCAGCUCCUGCCUCUGGGUUCCUUCCGGGCUUGCAUUCUUUUCCUGACUUCUUUUGCAGAUGACCAAGUUGCUUUGGUCAUGGUGUUUUAUCACAGCAAUAAUAACCCUAAGACACAGGGGAAGAACAAAAGCGGACAGACAAAAGAAUAUGGGCAAAGGAGACCAAGGCACAGGGGAAAUGGUAGGGCCUGUAGGAAUGAGAAGUUUAGGAUAGGGUUCAGGGUGAGAGGGGCCUGGAUGUCAGCACGUACUCAGUUACAGAUACCUUGAGACCCUGAGAGGGCCUGAAGGCCAGUCUGUGCUUUGGUAUUCUAAUAAGCCCCACAGUAAGCUGUUUGUCCUGAGUUCCUUUUAGACUUACAGAAAGAAGUCCCUGAUUUAAAUUUGAACUGAUCCAGUUUGAACUAAACUGGCCAGGAGAAGCAGCCACCACCCUCUAUUGUUCUUUCCUUCCUGUUUUGAGGGUGAGGGGCAUUCUUUAGUCCCUCCCUGUGCUAACCUGUUGGCAGGGCCUAGUUGGCAAAGGUUUUCCAAGAUGGCUACCCCAUUUCACAUUCCUCUUAGCAGCACAAGAGGGUUCCAAUUUCCAUAACCUUUCCAACACAAUGCCAUCUGAAUUUAUCAUCUCCAUCUUAGCAAGUGUGAAACAGCACCUCAUUGCUCCUUUCAUUUGCAUUUACCUAAUGGCUAACAGCAUUCAUCCAGCAAAGUUUUGUAUGGUUUUGUCACUGGGAGAUACAGUGCCUUUUCAUAGGCUUAGUCUCUUAGAGUAAAGAAUUUAAAAAUGGAGUCAGAAUGAAACUCGAAAGCAAUUGUCAAUUCCCCAAACUCCAAAAGGCAGUCUAAACCAGAAAUAAGCUCAAAUUGGACCGUAAGAAGGUCUCUGGCAACUAGAUAAAAUCCAGCAUUCCUCAGGAACUUUUGAAGCCAUUUCUGUCUGCCAAAGGAGUCACCAAAGGAGUCAUUUCCCUUACUUCUGACAAUAGGAUAUCUGGCUCUCCAAUUAGCAUAUACCAGUGUCAGCUAUCAGUACAUCAAGGUCCACGCUACUCUUCAGGCUCCCUUACUUAGACAUUUCUCCGCUUCUUGACUCUUCCUCCCCACAGCUACUCUCCCUACUACUUUGCUAGUCUCAUGCUUUCUCUAGACUUCUGCUCCUGGAGUUAUCACCAUGUUUUCUCUGUUCUCUAUGCUCUGCUAUUCUCCCUUCUACCGAAGAUAGCCCUGUCCCUGUCUAGUUGCUGGUCUUGUUCAGUCUACUUUCUCUGCUCUGAACUCCUGAAGGGAAAAUUAUACAGAUUUGGGGUUUAAAAAUAUGGAGUUGGAAGAGUGUGUUUCAGGGUUCACAGACUCAGGACUAAACACUGUGAAAAGCAAGUCCAGGCAGCCCCGCCCUGCUGCUAGAACUAACAGACCAUAAAAGGAAAGGAAUGCAGAACAGACCAGGAGUACUGGAUCUGACUCACAGGCCACCUGGCAGGAAGAGAUAAGCCCCCAGCCCCCGACAUCCAGGACGCCUCAAACCUGCCAAUGUGUGUAGCUAUACCUUAUUACCUCAUCAUGUGAAAUAGCCAAUCAUAUGUGAACAUGUCUAUGUGCCUCGUCUGAAUCCACCAAUCCCCGUAACUAUGCAUCUGCUUCUGUACGCCCGCUCCUGCUUCCCCAAACCCUAUAAAAGCCCCAUGCUGGAGCUGCUGGGCACGCAAGUCCUCCGAAGAGACUGUGUGCCUGCAGGUACCUGUGUUUUCCAAUAAACCCUCUUGCUGAUUGCAUCCGGGUGGACUCGGCUCGGUCAUUGGGCGCUUGGGACUCCUCCUGAGGGAAAGGUCCUCUCCGGAGGUCUUUCAUUAUGGGGGCUCGUCCGGGAUUCGGAGAUCCUCCACCCAGAGAUCACCGACCACCCACCGGGAGUAACUGUUACAGGUCUUCUUUACCACUGAGGAAAGACGGAAUCCUACUGGAGGCCAGAAAGAAUGUUCCAGACAUGGAUGGAAGGCCCUCACUUCUGCCUGUUGGAUUCAAUACACCUAAAGGCCUACACCUGGUUCUCGGUACUGUGGCAGCAUGGGCGCCAUCAGAGAAAAGCAGGGGAAAGUGUCACUUCAAGGUUCCUAUUGGGAAGCUGCACCUUGAGAAGCUGCCGAGAAGAUUGAUGAUGAACAUCACUGGAAACUCCACAUGUUCACCAGAUGGGUUUAGUCAGUUGCUGUCCCUUCCUAGGAAGAGGCAGCAAAGACAUCUUCUGGCCAUAUGGCCUUAUGGUAAAGAGGGUUGUGAAGCCUGGCAGUAGGACCAGAUGAUACCAGAACGAGGUGGGAAGAGCCCCACUUCCAGGAUAGCUUUAGUCCCUAUAGUUCUUUGAUCUAGCCUUUAUCCUUAACUUGGAAGGAGGGACAAAAAAAAAAAAAAACCCACAAAACAAAUAAACCCAACCUCAUGACCUCAUAUUUGUGGCUAUUGGAACCAACCACUGUGUUGUGAUCACGGUGUGGAAUUCAGAGUCAGCAGUUCUGAGUACUGGCACAAGGCAAGAAGGUCAUGGAAUGUUAUCUGGCUCUUGAUUUUCUAACUCUUAUAUUGUGGAGAGUUCUUGGGGCCACAUCUAGAAAUUUGGCAAGAAUUUGACAUUGGGCAAGGACAGGAAAGUCGGCUCAAGAUGAGUACAGCUGAGGACUGUGUUCAUUGUAUCUUGAUGGGUCUUGUUAGGACUCUGAAUACAGUAAUCGUGGGACCUUUGUUUAUGCUUUGUUUGUUUGUAAACUACUUUGUUUAUGCCAUAGGACUGACCACAUUCUUUGUAUGUACCUAGAAUGAUAGAAAAGCAGACUGGGAAAAAAAUAAACUCACUUCAGUCUCA
rnacentral:lncRNA from 1 species